rnacentral:rRNA from 1 species
GACGGAAGGUGCAAGCGUUGCUCGGAAUUACUGGGCGUAAAGGGCUCGUAGGCGGCCAACUAAGUCAGACGUGAAAUCCCUCGGCUUAACCUGGGAAUUGCGGUCGAUACUGCUCAGCUAGAGUAUGGGAGAGGGUAGUGGAAUUCCCGGUGUAGCGGUGAAAUGCGUAGAUAUCGGGAGGAACAUCAGUGGCGAAGGCGGCUACCUGGCCCAAUACUGACACUCAGGUGCGACAGCGUGGGGAGCAAACAGG